UGGAAACAAAUACAGCAUGAGGCCUCACAGCUGUUUUGCUGCAAGGAUGUUAACUGGAUUGGGAUGCAGACUGAAGGUCUGCCAUGCAGAGCUGUGGGUAAUUCUGACUCCGUGUAUUUUCUGACCCGUCUGCUUCAGGGUUGGCUGAGGGCAUACUCGGGGUCCUCAUUUGGGAACCACUGAUGUGAUUUAUAGCUGUGGGAGUCCAGCUCAUCGUCUGGCUGAAGUGUUUGCUAAAGUGCUUUGCUGUGCAGAACUGCUUCCCUCAGCCAAAGCCUUGAGGCUUUCUGAGGCACCUCAAGAAAUGAAGAGGCUGUUGGCAUAGCUCCCUCACAGUCCUUCAGAGCUGCCAGCCUAAAAGAUGUCAGCAAUACUGUACCAUGACAUAAUUCUAAGUGGGGAUAUGGCUGAGGAAUAAAACAGGGCAAAUGAGCAAGGUUUCCAUAUGGACAAAAGCACCAGGUUGGGGUUUUUUGAGCUAAAGAAAUGCUUAUGGUGACUGCAGCAUUCAUUUUAUUGGUUUCUUUCCAUUACUCUUAACUCCUGGCAGCAGCUUUGAGAAUCCCUCCCUGUCCUGGAUGGUUUCUUCUUUCAAACAUUUGCAGGCAGUUCUGCUGUUCACCCUUUCGUCAUCGCUUAGCUCAUUUAGUCCUCUCUCGUAAGUCAGUCCCUCCCAUUACCUAAUCAUGGUGCUGCUUUUCCCUAAAGUCCCUCUCAGUUGCUCAUUUAUUUUACGGUGACACAGGGUCCAGUAAUCCUGCCAUUGUUAACGUUUCCUGUUGUGGACUUUGGGGUUAUUUUUGUUCAGAGCUGCUGCAGUACUUGAAGGACUGAGCUGAGUUUCGCCUGUGAAGAAUAAUUACAGGCAGGGUCACCGAUACUGCAAUAAGAAACAUGGUCCAUGGGUUAUUAGAGGUGGUGGGUUUGGGGGUGGAGGCUUAGUGCAGUUCUGGCAGGUGAGCUGAUGGAAGAAAGCCCAAAAAUUCAUGUUUGAUAUUAAGCACACAAUAGACGCUCCAGAUACUUUGCUCCACUGGAAAAAAAACUUACCACCUGCAGAAAACUAGUUUAUUUGUGAAUUCCUGCAUUAUUUUCUGGCAGGUGAUGUCUGAAGUAAUGUGGGGGUAUUUAUUUUACUAAAAGUAUUCUUUCCUCCAAAAUGAUAGGCAACACAUAUGGGAUUAAACCAUGUGUAUGAGU
rnacentral:lncRNA from 1 species